AUUGAACGCUGGCGGCAGGCCUAACACAUGCAAGUCGAACGAGUGGCGGACGGGUGAGUAAUGUCUGGGGAACUGCCUGAUAGAGGGGGAUAACUACUGGAAACGGUGGCUAAUACCGCAUACCAUCGGAUGUACCCAUAUGGGAUUAGCUAGUAGGUGGGGUAACGGCUCACCUAGGCGACGAUCCCUAGCUGGUCUGAGAGGAUGACCAGCCACACUGGGACUGAGACACGGUCCAGACUCCUACGGGAGGCAGCAGUGGGGAAUAUUGCACAAUGGGCGCAAGCCUGAUGCAGCCAUGCCGCGUGUAUGAAGAAGGCCUUAGGGUUGUAAAGUACUUUCAGCGGGGAGGCGUUACCCGCAGAAGAAGCACCGGCUAACUCCGUGCCAGCAGCCGCGGUAAUUC
rnacentral:rRNA from 1 species